rnacentral:tRNA from 1 species
GGCACCGUGGCUUAGUUGGCAAAGCGCCUGUCUAGUAAACAGGAGAUCGGGAGUUCGAUUCUCCCCGGGGCCU